UCCGAAUUGGUGUAGUGGCUAACAUUUGACGCUCUCAUUGUAGAACCGUCAAGCCCGGGGUUCGAUUCCCCGAUUCGGAG